rnacentral:rRNA from 1 species
GGUAGGGGCAGCAGGGGUAAGGAAUAAAUGGCAAAAGGUGAGAGCCAGAACCAGCCAUCCCGCGUGCAGGAAGAAUGGGUUUUAAAGUUGUAAAUUGUUUUUAGACGGGAAUACCCCCUAGUAAGGUAGUAGGUGACGUUCUUGAGAGAAGGCUUGANNC